rnacentral:rRNA from 1 species
GACGAACGCUGGCGGCGUGCUUAACACAUGCAAGUCGAACGGAAAGGCCCUGCUUUUGUGGGGUGCUCGAGUGGCGAACGGGUGAGUAACACGUGAGUAACCUGCCCUUGACUUUGGGAUAACUUCAGGAAACUGGGGAUAAUACCGGAUAGGAGCUCCUGCUGCAUGGUGGGGGUUGGAACGUUUCGGCGGUUGGGGAUGGACUCGCGGCUUAUCAGCUUGUUGGUGGGGUAGUGGCUUACCAAGGCUUUGACGGGUAGCCGGCCUGAGAGGGUGACCGGCCACAUUGGGACUGAGGUACGGCCCAGACUCCUACGUGAGGCAGCAGUGGGGAAUAUUGCACAAUGGGCGGAAGCCUGAUGCAGCAACGCCGCGUGCGGGAUGACGGCCUUCGGGUUGUAAACCGCUUUCGCCUGUGACGAAGCGUGAGUGACGGUAAUGGGUAAAGAAGCACCGGCUAACUACGUG